rnacentral:rRNA from 1 species
UGAGGAAUUUUCCGCAAUGGGCGCAAGCCUGACGGAGCGACGCCGCGUGAGGGAUGACGGCCUUCGGGUUGUAAACCUCUUUUAUUAAGGAAAAAGGCAAUCGUGCUAACACCACGGUUGUUUGAUGGUACUUAUUGAAUAAGCCCCGGCUAACUACGUG